UACGAAGGGGGCUAGCGUUGCUCGGAAUCACUGGGCGUAAAGCGCACGUAGGCGGAUUGUUAAGUCAGGGGUGAAAUCCUGGAGCUCAACUCCAGAACUGCCUUUGAUACUGGCGAUCUCGAGUUCGGGAGAGGUGAGUGGAACUGCGAGUGUAGAGGUGAAAUUCGUAGAUAUUCGCAAGAACACCAGUGGCGAAGGCGGGUCACUGGCCCGGUACUGACGCUGAGGUGCGAAAGCGUGGGGAGCAAACAGG
rnacentral:rRNA from 1 species